rnacentral:lncRNA from 1 species
UCUUAUCCUAAUAAAACCUCACCUGCAUCCAAAAUCAAACCAUAUAUGAAACUCAACUCUAAUUGAAGACCUGAAACCCUCGUACCACCACCACAACCGCCGCCACCUCCGUCGUAUGAUUCCCAUCGCAGCUCCCUAGGGUUUCGGUUCGGCCACCCUGUCCCGAUCCAUGGCUAGGGUUUGACCAUGAUAAUUAUCGGCAGAUCAGCAAAGAUCCGAACUCGCCGGUGACAUAUCAGGCAUCAGUGAGUUUUCCGGUCACCCAUUUCCUGUGUAUGAGGUUGUGGCAGGCGGUGGUCGUAUGGAUGGUGGGUGGCGGUGAGAGAGAGGGAUAGGGAUAGGGAGAGGAUGUUUUAUUUUGGUUUAGCCAGCAAUUUGUGGUUGUUUUACUUUUUGUGAUACAACUGUUGCUGAUAAAAGAUGUUCUAUGUUUUGCGAUGAACAUGAAGUUUACUUGUUAAUAAAAGAUGUUUAUUUUUU